rnacentral:rRNA from 1 species
GAUGAACGCUGGCGGCGUGCCUAAUACAUGCAAGUCGAGCGAACGGACGAGAAGCUUGCUUCUCUGAUGUUAGCGGCGGACGGGUGAGUAACACGUGGAUAACCUACCUAUAAGACUGGGAUAACUUCGGGAAACCGGAGCUAAUACCGGAUAAUAUUUUGAACCGCAUGGUUCAAAAGUGAAAGACGGUCUUGCUGUCACUUAUAGAUGGAUCCGCGCUGCAUUAGCUAGUUGGUAAGGUAACGGCUUACCAAGGCAACGAUGCAUAGGCGACCUGAGAGGGUGAUCGGCCACACUGGAACUGAGAAACGGUCCAGACUCCUACGGGAGGCAGCAGUAGGGAAUCUUCCGCAAAGGGCGAAAGCCUGACGGAGCAACACCACGUGAGUGAUGAAGGUCUUCGGAUCGUAAAACUCUGUUAUUAGGGAAGAACAUAUGUGUAAGUACCUGUGCACAUCUUGACGGUACCUAAUCAGAAAGCCACGGCUAACUACGUG